UGCACCCACAUGUGCGACUGAACUUCAGACAAGAAGUUAUUUAGAAACACUACAUAAGUGCACAUAGUACAACAGCACGGAAACAAGAUUUCUGCUACCGGAGCAAAUUCAAAGCAGUUGCGAUCUAAACGUUUGUGUUCUAACUUAGUUGGGUUCACAACAUGAACUUCAUAAAAAUCUAUACAACAUACAUCACAACACACAAGCAGCACACCCAGUGCACGCAUAAACGCAAGCAUGCACGCACACACCAGUGCACAAACACACACAUUAGCAUGUUCCCCAUGCCACACUCAGGGCGCACUCAUAGGGCGUUGGUGACUGGCCGCAGAGUUCGCGAGGACACAGGGCAGCUGCGGCGGCAGACAGGACAUGACACACCAUGCAGUGCCUUUAUGGACAAGUUAGAAGCACUAGUGCAAGCGCUUAAAGGACUCCGACGACCGCACCUGUAGCAAAGAGGUAGAAGUUCAGUUUUAGGUACAAGUUUAAAUUUCAGAUUAUUCAGAGGCACUUGCAUGAACAUGAUGAUAGCAAAAGCAAGCAUAUAGUAGGAGACUAUAACCCGCAAAAAUGAAAGCUAAGACACGUUCAAUAGUAGCCUGGAAGCACACACAUACAACCAUAAUUAAACUUGGCAUAUAGCUAUAAUAGGACUUCACGAUGGCCGACGUAUAGCCAUAGUAGAACUUGGCGUAUAGCCAUGGUUGAACUCUCGCCAUUAGUGUAUAGAAUAUCAUUAGGGCUCCAAAAUACAACAUGAAUCAGCUAGAAAAGAAGAGCACAACAUCUGAACCUUCCAUGGCCAUGGGGUAUGAGCAUUACCACACAAUAGAAAAUAGUACAAUACCACUUAUCCACCUAUUACAAUUUUUUCAGUCUGGUAGUAACUAGCCCAAACGAAUUUCAGGCCAAUCUUUUUGGUUCAGGUUCAGUUGACCACUUCUGAAAAUGUCCAGGCUCUAAAAUCCAACUCUGCAAUUUUUUCAGUCUGGUAGUACUAGCUCGACCAAAUAGUGCAAUCCAGAUCUUCUUAAGAAUAUGAUGACCAUUUUGAGGAGAGUGCAGAGUUGCAUUUUUGUGUCAUUAUAUUUUUACGACUCUAGUAGACUUGUCACUAUUUGGUUGAGCCUGUACUAUUUUUGGUCUCUUUGAAUGACCUGAACUUCCGAACAAGCAUACAGAAAAAAUGUACUAUUUAAGCAUAUAGCAGGAGACUGUAACUACUUGCUUCGGUUGAGCAUGUACUAUUUAGGCAUAUAACAAGCAUAUAGCAGGAGACUAUAGCAGCUCUUCUUUCGAUGUUCAAAUAUGACGAGCUGAACUUUUUCACAAUAGUAACUAGCUCAACCGAAGCAACUUAUGAUGACCUAAACUUCUAAAGAAGAAUACACCAAAAUGCAGAGUUUGAUUUUUAGAGACGCAAGUUCUUCCAAAUUGCAUUAAUCAAACACUAGCACCACAUCAGACUCCACACAACCCCUGCAGUUCAAUCAGUCGAGGUAGCUAAGUUAAGUUAACAGAAGUUUUUACCUCACCAAGACAUCCAUGUGCAGGAGCAUGUCGCAGAAAGCACGCCUGCUCAGGUUGGGGCCGUUGCUGUAGGACAGUACGGUGGUGGGCGACGCUGCCGGUUGACCCAGUACAGGGAAGGUUUGGCCGGCCUACCCACGCUCACCGCCGCCCUAGCCUGAUUGUUAAAACUGCAUCCAAAAUGAGCAGCUAUAUAGGAAAUAAGCGCUACCUCACUCCAACCUUUAUACGAAUAAAGAGAAAUCUGAAUGUUUUGUUUGUUAAACCUUCAGAUCCAUAUAAUGCUGACCACAUGCUUUUUCAAACAGAGCACACUGUACUUCUUUUAGGACACGAAGCAUGAAUGAUUAGUGAAUAAGCAAUAUAAAAGAGGAAUUUUGCUAAUUGCAUAUACGUCCAUAUAUGUAUCAUAGAGAGAUCAAAGAUAGAGAGAUGCUGCUUUUUCCCUUAUAUGAUGGUUUGGUUCCCUUUUAUCAGUACACCUAGAGUUCCUACUAGACAUUAGCACAAACACAUUACUGGCAGCCAAAGCAUAAAAUUGCUAGCAUGUUAUGGUCACGCCCUGAUUCGUGAUGCAUGGGAAGGGGAAGCAGUGGAGCGGCUGAGCUCCACCGGCCACGCACGGGGUGUCACAGGGGUGUCCACGACGGAUUUAGGAGCUACAACAUCAGUAGAAACCGAACUGCAGAGUGCAGAGGAUCCGACCUUCACUCCAGCGCUGAGGAGGUGACGAGCGUGAGGAGGAGGCCGGUGGAUGACUGAAACUGUAAAGACUAAAGAGGCAUCCGUAACAAAAAUGUUGAGCAGACCUCCAACUUUUGUCCCUGCAGUUUCUUCGGUUCUUCACCUUCCACUUAUCCCUUUGCAAGCAACAAGCUACUCCACUGUUUCCCUUGCUAGCUGCUGUAACAACACAUUCAUUAUUAGUCUAUUCAUGAUCACUACAAGCAAAGAUCACACCAGAUAUUCCCAAUAGAAACAUAAUUUUUAUCAGAAGAAAAAAAUAUUAUUCUUUGCACUAAUGAAGUUCAUUUUUUUCACUUCUACUAAAACGUACUAAGUCCAAAAGAUAGAACACAUUCAUCUCCUCAGUCCUCACGAGUAAAGUAAAAAUAGGGUAUGUACAAAUGUUCAUCCCAAAUGAACACCGGUCAUGAAAUUUUCUGCACCAUAAACAUUGCAAAGCUCAUUUCUUUUAACUGUUAAGAACUGAUGAUUUUCUUUUGUCAAUGAACUCUUCUAACAUAUGUACUAGAAUUUCUAAAAGUUCAACAUUUUUUUGUAAUGGAUAUAAUGAACUCCUUAAUUUCAGACAUGAAAAUUAUAGAAUUUUUUUUUAUAGGCAAUCAAAUUGACAUACAGAGGAGGCGAGAAGGCUGACGGAGAGAGACGACGUCGUUGCAGCCGAAGCCGGUGUAGGCGGUUGGCCUCGUUGAGACGACAUCGUUGCAGCCAAAGACGGUGUAGCCGUGUAGGCGGUUGGCCUCGUCGGCGACGCGCUGGAGGAAGGGAGUGCUGUUGCCGAUAGCGGGAGAUGAGGCCCGUGGAGGCACAGGGUCUCGCGGCUGCCAGCUCAAGGAGUAGUGCGUGUAAAAAAGAUAAAACUGCAAAAUUCAGUACACUUUCUGUAGAACAUCAAAACAGCAACAUUCAGUUCAUCUUCACAAAGGAGGACUGUUGUAGCAUCUAGAUUCGAAGGAGAAGCAUUAUGCUAGAAUAAGUUGGACUGCAUAUAUUCUUCUUUUUGAACUUUUGCAACAAGUUAGAACUCUGUAUGCAGGUCGUGGGGAGGUGAGCGGCGGCAAUGUACGCGGGCCUGAACAUUGUUACUACCCAAAACCACAAACGUGCUACCUGUAGAAAAUCCACAAACGUGCUUAACAUGGAUGGGAUGGAAGUGCUGUGCUCACCCUCACCUUGACUGCUCUGGACUGCUACUCGCGAUGGCCCCAACCUCCCUGACGAUGCGGGGCUCGACUGGGAUGGCAUUGUGUCCCCGUCAGGGCAAUCGGGAGGAGGCGGAGGUGUGGGAACCGGGAUGAGGAAGAAGGUAGGUGCGGGAGCUCCACCUGGGGGGGAUCGUGCCAGAGUGGGGAGGCACUGGGUGGAGCCGAGAAAAGCUUGGAUCCCCGCCGAUGGCCCCCAAUUUUUCUGGAAUAGGAGGCAGGCAGAGUGAGCCGGGGCAAGUAGGCGACUAAUGUGGCGUCCGCUCCGGGGGAACGN
rnacentral:lncRNA from 1 species